AAUUCCUACGGGGGGCAGCAGUGGGGAAUAUUGCACAAUGGGGGAAACCCUGAUGCAGCGACGCCGCGUGAGUGAAGAAGUAAUUCGUUAUGUAAAGCUCUAUCAGCAGGGACGAAAAUGACGGUACCUGAGUAAGAAGCCCCGGCUAACUACGUGCCAGCAGCCGCGGUAAUACGUAGGGGGCAAGCGUUAUCCGGAUUUACUGGGUGUAAAGGGAGCGUAGACGGCAGUGCAAGUCUGGAGUGAAAGGCGGGGGCUUAACCCCUGAACUGCUUUGGAAACUGCCAUGCUAGA
rnacentral:rRNA from 1 species